GACGAACGCUGGCGGCGUGCUUAACACAUGCAAGUCGAACGGAAAGGCCCUGCUUUUGUGGGGUGCUCGAGUGGCGAACGGGUGAGUAGCACGUGAGUAACCUGCCCUUUACUUUGGGAUAACUUCAGGAAACUGGGGCUAAUACCGGAUAGGAGCUCCUGCUGCAUGGUGGUGGUUGGAAAGUUUCGGCGGUUGGGGAUGGACUCGCGGCUUAUCAGCUUGUUGGUGGGGUAGUGGCUUACCAAGGCUUUGACGGGUAGGCGGCCUGAGAGGGUGACCGGCGAAAUUGGGACUGAGAUACGGCCCAGACGACUACGGGAGGCAGCAGUGGGGAAUAUUGCACAAUGGGAGGAAGCCUGAUGCAGCAACGCCGCGUGCGGGAUGACGGCCUUCGGGUUGUAAACAGAUUUAGCAUGUGACGAAGCGUGAGUGACGGUAAUGGGUAAAGAAGCACCGGCUAACUACGUG
rnacentral:rRNA from 1 species